AGAACUCUUAGAGAAGAAUUAAUUUAUCUAACUCUACAACUACAUAUAUAAAGUUCAGCAGACGAGCUUCAUCCAGCCGUGGUUGGGGGGACAGUCAGGGGCUCAAUCCUAUUGAGGAGCUUUUCUCCGCUUGGAGGUGGAGAGUGUCUGAGCAUCAGGCCCAAGAUCAGAGGUCCCCUCCAUGCAAUGGAUGCUGCGUGUGAGGAUAUUACAGGAGAUCAGUGCAGGGAUGGUUGAGACAUGCACGCCGUUUCUUUACCUUGUUGCAUCAGAAGGGAGAAUAAACGCUGUGAUGUGGACGAGAAUCUGUGGCUAGACAGACAGACAGCAGGGUGAGGACGAUGGCCAGGAGAGGGAGGGCGAGGACAGCGACCAGUGAAGAACUGUUAGUUGUGAAACUCAAGCAUUAUUUACAGAACUGUAGGCUGCAUAUCAUUGUAUACAUUUUCUUUUUACUCUGAUGUAUGAAAGUUACUUUAUGUGUGUGAAUGAUAAUGGUUACAAUUUCCUUGGCAGUAUGAGUGCAAUGUGUGCUGUUAAACCUAAGAGGUUACUCUCACCCUAAAAUCCUUUUUCUUUUUCUCAGUUUUAUACAAAAUUGUAUUCUGUUAGCUAUACAAAAACAGUACAGUAACCAUUGUCAAUGAUGGACUGAGCUAAGACUGAUUGGUGGACAUGAGGGACAUUUCAUUUUUUAUAUCAGAUUUUGUAAGUGAGCUAUUGUGUUGUGCUGAACUGUAACAGACUGUUUUGCCAAAUGAUAAGAAUUAGAAUUUUUGAGAAUGUUCUGUAUCAAGAAAUGAGCCAAACCAAUGGAUAAAAACUUUAAUCUGCUUUUAAAAAUCUGCAUUCAUGCAGAACUGUGAGAUCUAUAGCAUAUCUAAAGCGAAUUCACCGUCUGCCUCUUGUUAGCGAGGAGCAUUAACAGUUGAUCCAUCAGGGUUUCACAUUCAGAACGUCUUUUCUAUUUUAUGCACUACAGAAACAGAGAAUCUCUGCUUUAUGUUAUACCAGCUCAUCGGGUCGAACUGGAAAUCCUUAAAAAGGCGUUGAAAGGGGGGGCGUGCUCUGAGUGCAAUACUUUGAAACGACUAUUUAUUUACAGAUUUUCCUCUUAAUUAACAGAAAAAAACGUUUUAGCUUGAAGCAAAACUCGUUUGUUUCAUAUUCAUCUGUUGAAAAACAGAUUUUUCUGAAAGCUCAGUUCUUAGAAGCCCGGCGGGGCAUCGACAGGUGUCAGGGGGGCAUCGACAGGUGUCAGGGGGGCAUCGACAGGUGUCAGGGGGGGAUCAACAGGUGUCAUGGGGGCCUCAACAGGUGUCAUGGAGGCAUCGACAGGUGUCAGGGGGGCAUCGACAGGUGUCAGGGGGGCAUCGACAGGUGUCAGGGGGGCAUCGACAGGUGUCAGGGGGGGAUCAACAGGUGUCAGGGGGGCAUCGACAGGUGUCAUGGGGGCCUCAACAGGUGUCAGGGGGGCAUCGACAGGUGUCAUGGGGGCAUCAACAGGUGUCAGGGGGGCAUCAUGAGCCCAUGGGGGCAUCAUGAGCCCAUCAUGAGCCCAUGGGGGCAUCAUGAGCCCAUGGGCUCAUGAUGACCCCAUGGAGGCAUCAUGAGCCCAUGGAGGCAUCAUGAGCCCAUGGAGGCAUCAUGAGCCCAUGGGGGCAUCAUGAGCCCAUGGGGUCAUCAUGAGCCCAUGGGCUCAUGAUGACCCCAUGGAGGCAUCAUGAGCCCAUGGAGGCAUCAUGAGCCCAUGGGCUCAUGAUGACCCCAUGGAGGCAUCAUGAGCCCGUCUGCAAGAACAAAACGAGCUUUUGGUUGAAAUCUUCCAAAUCAGUGGCUUUGAGGCAGAAUGGCGUUCAGAAACAUGAGGUUCUGCGUUGUCAUGUAGGUGAUGACAGGCGGGGAAGUUUCCUUCUGACAAACACGGAUCUUCUAGAAAACCUAAAAAGAGGACGUUGGCUUUGACAUCAGUGAUGCAAUUAACAGCUUUUUGGUGGCAACACCUGAAUGAAGCAACUCAAAUCUCAGUACUGGAAUCAGUGUCAAAGGAUUCGACAGAUGUUUAGAUUACAGCCUCUUCAUUAUAUGCAUUUAUUUACCUGUGAAAAGUUUAAAUGAAGUAAAAAGUGAUGCUCUACUUAUCCUUGAAUUGAGUUCUCUUAGAAUGUUGAUUAAAGACUUUUUAUUUAUAGUAAAGACAAUAAAUACAUUUGUGUAUCAACAUGGUUUACAAAUCUCCCAGCAGCCUCUUUGUACGGAGCGACAUAAAUACUAACCGUUUUCAGCAUCAGACUUUAAAAAUAUUGUGUUAAAAAAUGAUUUUGCAAUUGAAACUGAAAUUAUUUUAAAUUUUAAACUCAAAAAGAUGUGCAAAACAAAACAAUUUUACUCAUGAAAAUUAAAAAUAUUAGCCAAAAAAAUGUUAAUGGAGAGAAAUUCUCUGUUCUGCGCUCGAAACAGGGCGGGGCGCCGCAUUACAAAGCAGCCGCCAACGCCAGCCAAUCACAGACAUGGCCAUGAAGGUUGAUGCUGAUUGGUCAGACAGUCUUCCAAUCAGAGAAUUUCUUUGUUUCGAUUGCACGUAUCGCUCAGUUUCGAGAGUAAAGUCAUUUUUUGAGCACACAAAAAGUUUACGCUCAAAAGUGUGCGUUCCGCUUGGAAGAACGGCACAAAAUCUGCGCCGUAUCUUUCGUCUUUUUUCCUGCAGACAUAUCUUCAAAGAUACACUAAAGAUACACUUUUAAAUUUUGCGAUCAACUUCCGCGUUGAAUCCAACUGAUAAUUGAAAGCCUUUGACUCAGACGUUGAUUUUUAGUUCAAGUUGAAUUAAGAAAGUUGUGUGUACGAAGCUUUUACUCUGAAAUGAGUCAAAUUCGAAGCCAUUUCCUGUCAACUCGUGUGGACACUGCUGGUCAGCGAUGGUGCUCCUCCUUCCCCCACAAACUGUACCGACUGUGAAGAACCAUUGUCCGUUUAGUCUGUGACAUACGGUAGCAUCCAUCUUUAGGGCGUUUUUUUGUUUGUUAAGCGUGUUUGGCUCCGACCCGAGGUAAAGAAUCGUCUUUGGAGCAGCGGUUCGCACCGGUCGUGACGUUCAAUAGCGCCGUCAUUCCACACGGAUCGUCCUGAAACUCAAAGUUCCCAUCAUUCAUGUGCUGUAUGUGAUACCUGAUCACCCCCCCAACCCCCCUCCUCUCAUGCGGUUCAACCAGUGUUGUCAUAAAUAUUAUACGACAGUAAAACUAUAUGAUGGGGAUAAAUACAUUUCAGUGUUCUGUAUCCUAUGAAUGGUACAAAAUAAACUUUGACAUUGCACCUUUG